rnacentral:rRNA from 1 species
AGCGAACGUUAGCGGCGGGCCUAACACAUGCAAGUCGAGCGAGAAAGUGGCUUCGGCCAUCAGUAAAGCGGCGGACGGGUGAGUAACACGUAGGUAAUCUUCCCUUGAGCGGGGGACAACGUUUCGAAAGGAACGCUAAUACCGCAUACGUUCCCGGGAGCUUCGGCCCCGGAGGAAAGCUAGGUCGCAGAUCCGGCACUCGAGGAGGAGCCUGCGUCGCAUCAGCUAGUUGGUGGGGUAACGGCCACCAAGGCGAAGACGCGUAGCUGGUCUGAGAGGAUGAUCAGCCACACUGGGACUGAGACACGGCCCAGACUCCUACGGGAGGCAGCAGUGGGGAAUAUUGGACAAUGGGCGCAAGCCUGAUCCAGCCACGCCGCGUGAGUGAUGAAGG